rnacentral:rRNA from 1 species
GGUUAAGCGAAUAAGCGUACACGGUGGAUGCCUAGGCAAUCAGAGGCGAUGAAGGACGUGCUAAUCUGCGAUAAGCGUCGGUAAGGUGAUAUGAACCGUUAUACCCGACGAUUUCCGAAUGGGGAAACCCAAUAUCCAAUGGAUAUUAUCAUUAACUGAAUACAUAGGUUAAUGAAGCGAACCGGGAGAACUGAAACAUCUCAGUACCCCGAGGAAAAGAAAUCAACCGAGAUUCCCCUAGUAGCGGCGAGCGAACGGGGAACAGCCCAGAGUCUUAAUCAAUAGCAGCAUCAGGAGAACGGUCUGGAAAGUCCGGCAGUAAAGGGUGAUAGCCCCGUAUCCGAAGAUGCUGUUAUUGUGAACUCGACGAGUAGGGCGGGACACGUGUUAUCCUGUCUGAAUAUGGGGGGACCAUCCUCCAAGGCUAAAUACUCCUGAUUGACCGAUAGUGAACCAGUACCGUGAGGGAAAGGCGAAAAGAACCCCGGCGAGGGGAGUGAAAAAGAACCUGAAACCGUGUACGUACAAGCAGUAGGAGCCUCUUUAUGGGGUGACUGCGUACCUUUUGUAUAAUGGGUCAGCGACUUAUAUUCUGUAGCGAGGUUAACCGUAUAGGGGAGCCGUAGGGAAACCGAGUCUUAACUGGGCGAAUGAGUUGCAGGGUAUAGACCCGAAACCCGGUGAUCUAUCCAUGGGCAGGUUGAAGGUUGGGUAACACUAACUGGAGGACCGAACCGACUAAUGUUGAAAAAUUAGCGGAUGACUUGUGGAUGGGGGUGAAAGGCCAAUCAAACCGGGAGAUAGCUGGUUCUCCCCGAAAGCUAUUUAGGUAGCGCCUCGUGAACUCAUCUUCGGGGGUAGAGCACUGUUUCGACUAGGGGGUCAUCCCGACUUACCAACUCGAUGCAAACUGCGAAUACCGAAGAAUGUUAUCACGGGAGACACACGGCGGGUGCUAACGUCCGUCGUGAAGAGGGAAACAACCCAGACCGCCAGCUAAGGUCCCAAAGUCAUGGUUAAGUGGGAAACGAAGUGGGAAGGCUCAGACAGCCAGGAUGUUGGCUUAGAAGCAGCCAUCAUUUAAAGAAAGCGUAAUAGCUCACUGGUCGAGUCGGCCCGCGCGGAAGAUGUAACGGGGCUAAACCAUGCACCGAAGCUGCGGCAGCGACACUAAGUGUUGUUGGGUAGGGGAGCGUUCUGUAAGCCUGCGAAGGUGUACUGUGAGGUAUGCUGGAGGUAUCAGAAGUGCGAAUGCUGACAUAAGUAACGAUAAUGCGGGUGAAAAACCCGCACGCCGGAAGACCAAGGGUUCCUGUCCAACGUUAAUCGGGGCAGGGUGAGUCGACCCCUAAGGCGAGGCUGAAAAGCGUAGUCGAUGGGAAACGGGUUAAUAUUCCCGUACUGGUGGUAACUGCGAUGGGGGAACGGAGAAGGCUAGGUUGUCCGGGCGACGGUCGUCCCGGUUCAAGCAUGUAGGCAGAGUGAUUAGGCAAAUCCGGUCACUUAAUGCUGAGGUGUGAUGACGAGCCACUAAGGUGGUGAAGCAAUUGAUGCCCUGCUUCCAGGAAAAGCCUCUAAGCUUCAGGUUACCAACAAUCGUACCCCAAACCGACACAGGUGGUCAGGUAGAGAAUACUCAGGCGCUUGAGAGAACUCGGGUGAAGGAACUAGGCAAAAUGGUGCCGUAACUUCGGGAGAAGGCACGCUGGCGGUAAGUGAAGUCCCUUGCGGACGGAGCCGAAGCCAGUCGAAGAUACCAGCUGGCUGCAACUGUUUAUUAAAAACACAGCACUGUGCAAACACGAAAGUGGACGUAUACGGUGUGACGCCUGCCCGGUGCUGGAAGGUUAAUUGAUGGGGUUAUCCUUAGGGAGAAGCUCUUGAUCGAAGCCCCAGUAAACGGCGGCCGUAACUAUAACGGUCCUAAGGUAGCGAAAUUCCUUGUCGGGUAAGUUCCGACCUGCACGAAUGGCGUAAUGAUGGCCAGGCUGUCUCCACCCGAGACUCAGUGAAAUUGAACUCGCUGUGAAGAUGCAGUGUACCCGCGGCAAGACGGAAAGACCCCGUGAACCUUUACUAUAGCUUGACACUGAACAUUGAGCCUUGAUGUGUAGGAUAGGUGGGAGACUAUGAAGUGUGGACGCCAGUCUGCAUGGAGUCAACCUUGAAAUACCACCCUUUAACGUUUGAUGUUCUAACCUAGGCCCAUAAUCUGGGUCGGGGACCGUGUCUGGUGGGUAGUUUGACUGGGGCGGUCUCCUCCUAAAGAGUAACGGAGGAGCACGAAGGUUGGCUAAGCAUGGUCGGACAUCAUGCGGUUAGUGCAAAGGCAUAAGCCAGCUUGACUGUGAGAGUGACGGCUCGAGCAGGUACGAAAGUAGGUCUUAGUGAUCCGGUGGUUCUGAAUGGAAGGGCCAUCGCUCAACGGAUAAAAGGUACUCCGGGGAUAACAGGCUGAUACCGCCCAAGAGUUCAUAUCGACGGCGGUGUUUGGCACCUCGAUGUCGGCUCAUCACAUCCUGGGGCUGAAGUAGGUCCCAAGGGUAUGGCUGUUCGCCAUUUAAAGUGGUACGCGAGCUGGGUUUAGAACGUCGUGAGACAGUUCGGUCCCUAUCUGCCGUGGGCGUUGGAAGAUUGAGAGGGGUUGCUCCUAGUACGAGAGGACCGGAGUGAACGCACCACUGGUGUUCGGGUUGUCAUGCCAAUGGCAUUGCCCGGUAGCUAAGUGCGGAAGAGAUAACCGCUGAAAGCAUCUAAGCGGGAAACUUGCCUCGAGAUGAGUCUUCCCUGUCACCUAGAGUGACCUAAAGGAACGUUUAAGACUAAGACGUUGAUAGGCUGGGUGUGUAAGCGUAGCGAUACGUUGAGCUAACCAGUACUAAUGAACCGUGAGGCUUAACCUG